rnacentral:miRNA from 1 species
ACUGGCAGUUGACUGUUGAUCCG